UACAGAGGGGGCAAGCGUUGUUCGGAAUUACUGGGCGUAAAGGGCGCGUAGGCGGAUUGUUAAGUCAGGGGUGAAAUCCUGGAGCUCAACUCCAGAACUGCCUUUGAUACUGGCGAUCUUGAGUUCGGGAGAGGUGAGUGGAACUGCGAGUGUAGAGGUGAAAUUCGUAGAUAUUCGCAAGAACACCAGUGGCGAAGGCGGCUCACUGGCCCGAUACUGACGCUGAGGUGCGAAAGCGUGGGGAGCAAACAGG
rnacentral:rRNA from 1 species